GACGAACGCUGGCGGCGUGCUUAACACAUGCAAGUCGAGCGAUGAAGCACCUUCGGGUGUGAAUUAGCGGCGAACGGGUGAGGAACACGUGAAGAAUCUGCCUUCAACUCUGGGAUAACUCCGGGAAACCGGGGCUAAUACCGGAUAUGAGCCUUGAUCGCAUGAUCGGGGCUGGAAAGUUUUUCGGUUGAAGAUGACUUCGCGGCCUAUCAGCUUGUUGGUGAGGUAAUGGCUCACCAAGGCGACGACGGGUAGCCGGCCUGAGAGGGCGGCCGGCCACACUGGGACUGAGACAGGGCCCAGACUCCUACGGGAGGCAGCAGUGGGGAAUAUUGGGCAAUGGAGGAAACUCUGACCCAGCGACGCCGCGUGAGGGAUGAAGGCCUUCGGGUUGUAAACCUCUUUCAGUAGGGAAGAAGCGAAAGUGACGGUACCUACAGAAGAAGCACCGGCUAACUAUGUGCCAGCAGCCGCCGUAA
rnacentral:rRNA from 1 species